rnacentral:lncRNA from 1 species
GGAGAAUUUUCAAAUAGUCUCAUCCCAUCAUAUUUUUCUUAUGUCAACUUUUCCAGAAGAUAAAAAAAAAAAAUAGAGCUUUCGACUUUCCUUCAGCAGUUAGAAGAGGAAAGAGAAAAUGGAGUUGGGGAACAAGGAAAGCACCACUAAGCAGGU